rnacentral:rRNA from 1 species
AGAGUUUGAUCCUGGCUCAGAUUGAACGCUGGCGGCAUGCCUUACACAUGCAAGUCGAACGGUAACGCGGGGCAACCUGCCGACGAGUGGCGAACGGGUGAGUAAUGCAUCGGAACGUGUCCUGUAGUGGGGGAUAGCCCGGCGAAAGCCGGAUUAAUACCGCAUACGACCUACGGGUGAAAGGGGGGGAUCGCAAGACCUCUCGCUAUUGGAGCGGCCGAUGUCAGAUUAGGUAGUUGGUGGGGUAAAAGCCUACCAAGCCGACGAUCUGUAGCUGGUCUGAGAGGACGACCAGCCACACUGGGACUGAGACACGGCCCAGACUCCUACGGGAGGCAGCAGUGGGGAAUUUUGGACAAUGGGCGCAAGCCUGAUCCAGCCAUGCCGCGUGCGGGAAGAAGGCCUUCGGGUUGUAAACCGCUUUUGUCAGGGAAGAAACGCUCUGGGCUAAUACCCCGGGGUAAUGACGGUACCUGAAGAAUAAGCACCGGCUAACUACGUGCCAGCAGCCGCGGUAAUACGUAGGGUGCAAGCGUUAAUCGGAAUUACUGGGCGUAAAGCGUGCGCAGGCGGCCAUGCAAGACAAAUGUGAAAUCCCCGGGCUCAACCUGGGAGCUGCAUUUGUGACUGCAUGGCUGGAGUGCGGCAGAGGGGGAUGGAAUUCCGCGUGUAGCAGUGAAAUGCGUAGAUAUGCGGAGGAACACCGAUGGCGAAGGCAAUCCCCUGGGCCUGCACUGACGCUCAUGCACGAAAGCGUGGGGAGCAAACAGGAUUAGGUACCCUGGAAGUCCACGCCCUAAACGAUGUCAACUGGUUGUUGGGAGGGUUUCUUCUCAGUAACGUAGCUAACGCGUGAAGUUGACCGCCUGGGGAGUACGGCCGCAAGGUUGAAACUCAAAGGAAUUGACGGGGACCCGCACAAGCGGUGAUGAUGUGGUUUAAUUCGACGCAACGCGAAAAACCUUACCUACCCUUGACAUGUCUGGAAUUUUGCAGAGAUGUGAAAGUGCUCGAAAGAGAACCAGAACACAGGUGCUGCAUGGCCGUCGUCAGCUCGUGUCGUGAGAUGUUGGGUUAAGUCCCGCAACGAGCGCAACCCUUGUCAUUGGUUGCUACGAAAGGGCACUCUAAUGAGACUGCCGGUGACAAACCGGAGGAAGGUGGGGAUGACGUCAGGUCAUCAUGGCCCUUAUGGGUAGGGCUACACACGUCAUACAACGGCCGGUACAGAGGGUUGCCAACCCGCGAGGGGGAGCCAAUCCCAGAAAACCGGUCGUAGUCCGGAUCGCAGUCUGCAACUCGACUGCGUGAAGUCGGAAUCGCUAGUAAUCGCGGAUCAGCUUGCCGCGGUGAAUACGUUCCCGGGUCUUGU